rnacentral:rRNA from 1 species
CAGCCGCCGCGGUAAUACGUAGGGUGCGAGCGUUAAUCGGAUUUACUGGGCGUAAAGCGUGCGCAGGCGGCCCGUUAAGACAGGUGUGAAAUCCCUGGGCUCAACCUAGGAAUUGCGCUUGUGACUGGCGGGCUCGAGUACGGUAGAGGGGGGUGGAAUUCCUGGUGUAGCAGUGAAAUGCGUAGGGAUCAGGAGGAACACCGAUGGCGAAGGCAGCCCCCUGGGCCUGUACUGACGCUCAUGCACGAAAGCGUGGGGAGCAAACAGGAUUAGAUACCCUGGUAGUCCACGCCCUAAACGAUGGGUACUAGCCGUUUGGUGCGCGAUAGCGCUGAGUGGCGAAGCUAACGCGAGAAGUACCCCGCCUGGGGAGUACGGCCGCAAGGUUGAAACUUAAAGGAAUUGGCGGG